GAACACACGGGAACUUACCAAGUGGCUUUGGUGAUGGCGCUUCUCAAAAGAGUCGAGUUGGUUUGGGAAAUGCAGCUCAAAAUGGGUGGUAAAAUUCCAUCUAAAGGUUAAUAUUGGCGAGAGACCGAUAGCGAACAAGUACCGUGAGGGAAAGAUGAAAAAGCACUUUGGAAAGAGAGUUAAACAGUACGUGAAAUUGCUGAAAAGGGAAACGCUUGAAGUCAGUCGCGUUGAUCAGGACUCAGCCUUGCUUUUGCUUGGUGUAUUUUCUGGUUAACGGGCCAGCAUCGAUUUCGACCACCGGAAAAAGGCUGGGGGAAUGUGGCACCUUCGGGUGUGUUAUAGCCCUCAGUCACAUACGGUGGUCGGGAUCGAGGACCGCAGCACGCCUUUAUGGCCGGGGUUCGCCCACGUUCGUGCUUAGGAUGCUGGCGUAAUGGCUUUAAACGACCCGUCUUGAAACACGGACCAAGGAGUCUAACAUGCCUGCGAGUGUUUGGGUGGAAAACCCGAGCGCGUAAUGAAAGUGAAAGUUGAGAUCCCUGUCGCGGGGAGCAUCGACGCCCGGACCUGAACUUCGGUGAUGGAUCUGCGGUAGAGCAUGUAUGUUGGGACCCGAAAGAUGGUGAAMUAUGCCUGAAUAGGUGAAGCCAGAGGAAACUCCUUCCUCCCUCCUAGCGAUUCUGACUGCCCCUCGCUCUCAAUAUGGGUAUAGGGGGAAGCAUUUUG
rnacentral:rRNA from 2 species